AGUUAAACAAAUUUAGUCGACAAAGGCGGUUGAUUUUGAUUAACCAAAUUGUUUAUAUUCAUCUGAAAUCGUCUGAACUAAAAACGAGAACAACAUGUGCAAGUGUCUGGCCGGAAACGUUGCCUGCUGCUGCUUCAAUUGUGCACUUAGUGUGCUUAUUUCCAUCAUCAGUGGAUUUCUGGUGAUCGGCAUCGUGGUCGGAUUGGCCAUCUACUUCAUUGCCUACUACGAAAAGGAGGAUGAUGUUACCAAGAUUACCAAUAAAGUAACCGAAAAUAUCCAGUCGGGAUAUGACAAAAUAAAGGAUGCCCUAAGCAAAUAAAAUCGACUAUGAUUAGUACACAGCGAAAAAUUUUCCACGCUUUGCAUAAUUCCAUUCAUCCAGAUUAAUUGCCACCUAUUUACAGAAACAAACACCGCUGGAGCCUUUUAGAAGAGGAUAAUUGUUAAACUGUUUCAGUAUCAGUACAAAUAAAUAUUACACCUUCAAAAUAUUAUUGUGAAUCUCCAGCUAAUGUAAAAGAUGUUUUAACGCAAAAGAUUUUAUAAAUAAAUAUUUAUGAUGUUCAAAAACAGAUUAUACUACUUUACAAAAUGAAAUAAAAAGAAAAUGUUUUGACAUUAAUAUAGCAAUGCUCAA
rnacentral:misc_RNA from 1 species